rnacentral:rRNA from 1 species
GUUUUGNNNNNNUUUUUAUGCACUUUGUCAAAAGCAGGCUCCGAAUUCGCCCUUAGAGUUUGAUCCUGGCUCAGGAUGAACGCUAGCGGCAGGCUUAAUACAUGCAAGUCGAGGGGUAACAGGGGAGCUUGCUCCCGCUGACGACCGGCAAACGGGUGCGGAACACGUACGCAACCUUCCCAAAACUGGUGAAUAGCCCUCCGAAAGGAGGAUUAAUACACCGUAACAUAACGAAGUGGCAUCACUUUGUUAUUAAAGUUCCGGCGGUUUUGGAUGGGCGUGCGCAUGAUUAGAUAGUUGGCGGGGUAACGGCCCACCAAGUCUACGAUCAUUAACUGGUGUGAGAGCACGACCAGUCACACGGGCACUGAGACACGGGCCCGACUCCUACGGGAGGCAGCAGUAAGGAAUAUUGGUCAAUGGACGAAAGUCUGAACCAGCCAUGCCGCGUGAAGGAUUAAGGCCCUCUGGGUUGUAAACUUCUUUUAUCUGGGACGAAAAAAGGGUAUUCUUACUCACUUGACGGUACCAGAGGAAUAAGCACCGGCUAACUCCGUGCCAGCAGCCGCGGUAAUACGGAGGGUGCAAGCGUUAUCCGGAUUCACUGGGUUUAAAGGGUGCGUAGGUGGAUAUUUAAGUCAGUGGUGAAAUCUCCGAGCUUAACUCGGAAACUGCCAUUGAUACUAUUUAUCUUGAAUGCCCUGGAGGUAAGCGGAAUAUGUCAUGUAGCGGUGAAAUGCUUAGAUAUGACAUAGAACACCAAUUGCGAAGGCAGCUUACUACGGGGUGAUUGACACUGAGGCACGAAAGCGUGGGGAUCAAACAGGAUUAGAUACCCUGGUAGUCCACGCCCUAAACGGU